rnacentral:rRNA from 1 species
AACGAACGCUGGCGGCAUGCCUAACACAUGCAAGUCGAACGAGACCUUCGGGUCUAGUGGCGCACGGGUGCGUAACGCGUGGGAACCUGCCCUUAGGUUCGUAAUAACUCCCCGAAAGGGGUGCUAAUACCGGAUAAUGUCUUCGGACCAAAGAUUUAUCGCCUUUGGAUGGGCCCGCGUUGGAUUAGCUAGUUGGUAGGGUAAAAGCCUACCAAGGCGACGAUCCAUAGCUGGUCUGAGAGGAUGAUCAGCCACACUGGGACUGAGACACGGCCCAGACUCCUACGGGAGGCAGCAGUGGGGUAUAUUGGACAAUGGGCGAAAGCCUGAUCCAGCAAUGCCGCGUGAGUGAUGAAGGCCUUAGGGUUGUAAAGCUCUUUUACCCGGGAUGAUAAUGACAGUACCGGGAGAAUAAGCGCCGGCUAACUCCGUG